CCUCCUUCUCCUUUCCCUGUAAACUGAUCUCCGCCUACUGCACCUGCUUGCUGACGGGCUCCUCUCUCUGGCGCUCCAUGCCCCAUCAUGCCUGGUGCUAUCUCCGCGCCGUUCCCUGCUGGCGUUCUUCCGGCCUGGGGUCGCUUCUGAAGCCUUGCUGACCCUGGGAGCUGCAUCCUGCGGCCCUCCCGUCCAUGCCUUACCCCACUUUCCUCUGAACACAAC